CCUACGGGAGGCAGCAGUGAGGACUAUUGGUCAAUGGGCGGAAGCCUGAACCAGCCAAGUAGCGUGCGGGAUGAAGGCCCUACGGGUCGUAAACCGCUUUUGCACGGGGAUAACACCCUCCACUUGUGGAGGUCUGCAGGUACCGUGCGAAUAAGGGCCGGCUAAUUCCGUGCCAGCAGCCGCGGUAAUAAGGAAGGCCCGAGCGUUAUCCGGAUUCAUUGGGCUUAAAGGGAGCGUAGGCGGGCGUUCAAGUCAGCUGUAAAAUCGCGCGGCUCAACCGCGCCCCGCAGUUGAAACUGGACGCAUUGAGUUCACAACAGGCAGGCGGAAUUCGUGGUGUAGCGGUGAAAUGCAUAGAUAUCACGAGGAACCCCGAUUGCGAGGGCAGCCUGCCGGGGUGCGACUGACGCUGAGGCUCGAAGGUGCGGGUAUCAAACAGGAUUAGAUACCCCAGUAGUC
rnacentral:rRNA from 1 species